CAUCGAGAUUGAACGCUAGCGGGAUGCUUUACACAUGCAAGUCGGAACGGCAGCACGAGAGAGCUUGCUCUCUAUGGUGGCGAGUGGCGGACGGGUGAGUAAUAUAUCGGAACGUGCCUAGUAGCGGUGGGAUAACUACUCGAAAGAGUGGCUAAUACCGCAUAACGCCCUACGGGGGAAAGGGGGGGAUCGCAAGACCUCUCACUAUUAGAGCGGCCGAUAUCGGAUUAGCUAGUUGGUGGGGUAAAGGCUCACCAAGGCAACGAUCCGUAGCUGGUUUGAGAGGACGACCAGCCACACUGGGACUGAGACACGGCCCAGACUCCUACGGGAGGCAGCAGUGGGGAAUUGUUGGACAAUGGGGGAAACCCUGAUCCAGCCAUCCCGCGUGUAUGAUGAAGGCCUUCGGUGUUGUAGUGUACUUAUGGCAGAGAAGAAUAGGUACCUCCUAAUACGAGGUACUGCUGACGGUAUCUGCAGAAUAAGCACCGGCUAACUACGUGCCAGCAGCCGCGGUAAUACGUAGUGGUGCAAGCGUUAAAGGGAAUUACUGGGCGUAAAGCGUGUGUAGGCGGUUCGGAAAGAAAGAUGUGAAAUCCCAGGGCUUAACCUUGGAACUGCAUUUACAACUGCCGAGCUAGAGUAUGUCAGAGGUAGGUAGAAUUCCACGUGUAGCAGUGAAAUGCGUAGAUAUGUGGAGGAAUACCGAUGGCGAAGGCAGCCCCCUGGGAUAAUACUGACGCUCAGACACGAAAGCGUGGGGUUCAAACAGGAUUAGAUACCCUGGUAGUCCACGCCCUAAACGAUGUCAACUAGCUGUUGGGGCCGUUAGGCCUUAGUAGCGCAGGUAACGCGUGAAGUUGACCGCCUGGGGAGUACGGUCGCAAGAUUAAAACUCAAAGGAAUUGACGGCGACCCGCACAAGCGGUGGAUGAUGUGGAUUAAUUCGAUGCAACGCGAAAAACCUUACCUACCGUUGACAUGUCUGGAAUCCCGAAGAGCGUUGGGAGUGCUCGCAAGAGAACCUUGGAGCACAGGUGCUGCAUGGCUGUCGUCAGCUCGUGUCGUGAGAUGUUGGGUUAAGUCCCGCAACGAGCGCAACCCUUGUCAUUAGUUGCUACGCACAGAGCACUCUAAUGAGACUGCCGGUGACAAACCGGAGGAAUGGUGGGGAUGACGUCAAGUCCUCAUGGCCCUUAUGGGUAGGGCUUCACACGUCAUACAAUGGUCGGGACAGAGUGUCGCCAACCCGCGAGGGGGAGCCAAUCUCAGAAACCCGAUCGUAGUCCGGAUCGCAGUCUGCAACUCGACUGCGUGAAGUCGGAAUCGCUAGUAAUCGCGGAUCAGAAUGUCGCGGUGAAUACGUUCCCGGGUCUUGUACACACCGCCACGUCACACCAUGGGAGUGGGUUUCACCAGAAGUAGGUAGCCUAACCGUAAAGAGGGCGCUUACCACGGUGGGAUUCAUGACUGGGACUAUCGG
rnacentral:rRNA from 1 species